CUGAAAUUUCCUCUCCCUUUCCACAUAAUCACAUGAUUUAAUCAUGUGUUAAAUCAUUUAUGAUGAAAAUAAGAUCAAAUAAGAGAAAGAAACGACUAUCACAUGCUUUAAAUUUCUCUCUCUCUUAAUAACCGAAUUCUACUCUUUCUUUUCUUCAUUUAUCAUAAAAAAUUCAUUAAGUUAGCAUUUAGAAAGAACAAAAAACAAAGAGAAAGAGAGCUAGCUAGAGAGAGCCGAGAGUGUGAGAGAAAAAAGUAGCAUUUUCAAACUAAUUUUUUCACCAAAUUCUUCACCAAAUUUCAAGAACAACACUUUCACUUCUCAAGAAUAAAAGAAUCAAGAUCAUUUCUCUCUUCAUCUUUUUCAUUUGUCACUUGAAUUCUCAUAAGAAAAAAAAGAAGAAAUUGGUGGACUUAGCCCGUCAAACCGCCAACCCGCCAUUAGGCGUGGUGGGAUAGAGAUUCGAGAUUGCCUCACUAGGAGGGUCGAGCCGGGCUAGCCCGCCAACAGGUGGACUUUUGAUGGGGCAGAACAGACUAGCCUGCCUGCUACCCCUAAUUAGAACUUGGUGCUUCUUUUUUGGCUGGUCUUUAUAAUUUUUUAUUUCAUCUUAUUGCUCUCAAAAUACCCACAUUUUUAUCACUAUAGUGAGAAUGCAAGUUCCUAAUUGAUAAAAACACAUGCAAUGGAGGAACUUUCCACAGGACCAUAACAGAGGACCACACCAUCGAUUUGGAUGAUUUCAAAAACAACUAUUCGCUGUCAAGAAUCAAGAUGAUGUCCCACCGUCAACUAUUCACCAUCACUAUAUCAUCAAGUCGUCGUUGGUCUUCCGUCAAGUGUUUUUCCACGGUGUCUCUUGUUGGUGCCAAGUGUGGUAUCCUUAAGGUUUUGUGUAAUUGUUGGUGUGAAUGGAGGAGAUGG